rnacentral:rRNA from 1 species
GACGAACGCUGGCGGCGUGCUUAACACAUGCAAGUCGAACGGAAAGGCCGUGCUUUUGUGCGGUGCUCGAGUGGCGAACGGGUGAGUAACACGUGAGUAACCUGCCUUUUAGUUUGGGAUAACUUCAGGAAACUGUGGCUAAUACCGGCUAGGAGCAGCUGCUGCAUGGUGGUGGUUGGAAAGGUUCCGCGGCUUGGGUACGAGAUGCGGCUUAGUAGCUUGUGGGUGGGGUAGUGGCUUAGCCAUGCGUAGACGAGUAGCCGGCCUGUGAGGGUGACAGGCCCCAGAGGGACUGAGGUGCGGCCCAGACGGAUACUGGAGGAAGGAGCGGGGAAUAGUGCGCAAAAGGCGGAGGCAGUAUGGAGGAACGCCGCAUGGGGGAGGACGGUUUUCGGGUUGUAAACCGCUUGCGCGUGGAACGAAGCGUGAGUGACGGUAAUGGAUAAAGAAGGGCCGGCUAACUACGUG